rnacentral:rRNA from 1 species
UACGUAGGGGGCAAGCGUUGUCCGGAAUCAUUGGGCGUAAAGCGCGUGUAGGCGGCUCGAUAAGUCUGCUGUGAAAGUCCAGGGCUCAACCCUGGGAUGCCGGUGGAUACUGUCGAGCUCGAGUCCGGAAGAGGCGAGUGGAAUUCCCGGUGUAGCGGUGAAAUGCGCAGAUAUCAGGAGGAACACCAAUGGCGAAGGCAGCUCGCUGGGACGUGACUGACGCUGAGACGCGAAAGCGUGGGGAGCAAACAGG